AAUAGAUGAUGCCAUUGACUUUUUCUCACGUGUUUGACCAUUCGUCUUAUUCAAAAAAUUUACGUAAUUUAUUUUGUUAUGAGUUGUUUUAUUACUCAUAGUACUUUAAGUGUGAUUUAUAUCUUAUACAUUUGCAUAAAAUUUUUGAAUAAGACGAAUGGUCAAACAUGUGAGAAAAAGUCAACGGCGUCAUCUAUU
rfam:Oryza sativa (indica cultivar-group) chromosome 1, whole genome shotgun sequence.